rfam:Schistosoma mattheei strain Denwood, Zambia genome assembly, scaffold: SMTD_scaffold0018208
AUCCGGCUAACGAGUCCCACAUAGGACGAGACGCGCGUCCUGGAU